rnacentral:rRNA from 1 species
UACAGAGGCCUCGAGCGUUAGGCGGAAUCACUGGGCUUAAAGCGUGUGUAGGCGGAUGCCUAAGUACCUUGUGAAAUCCCACGGCUCACCCGUGGAACGGCUGGGUAUACUGGGUGUCUUGAGCCACUUAGGGGCUGCCGGAACAAAUGGUGGAGCGGUGAAAUGCGUAGAUAUCCGGAGGAAUACCAAAGGCGAAGGCAGUGUCCUGGCUGGCAUCUGACGCUGAGGCGCGAAAGCGUGGGGAGCAAACAGG